rnacentral:lncRNA from 1 species
GAAAUUAUAAAUGAAUUUGAUUCUUCAAUUUCUUACGAGUUCAUAUAGUCAAUUUAUUAUAAAUUUUUAUAUGAACAAAUUGGUCUGCACUAUACCCGAACUGGUCAACAUAUUGGUUACUACUGAGGAAACCUUGAAGAGUUCAAGGGAUACUGUUUUUGCUAUAGAACAUACUUCUUUAUCUAAGAGAAAGUCUAGCUGGAAGAAAAAAAGUAAACCCAUGAAGAAGCAGA